GGAGAUAGAACUACGAUUUUUGAAAGGACAGGAGACCGACAGUCGCCACCAUGGUUUGCUGUGCUGCCUGGGGAUGCUCAAAUCGCUCCGAGAAAGGAGUACGAAUGUACGGCUUCCCCACUGACACAGAGCGGAGGAAAAAAUGGCUGGCUCAAGUCAGCAGGAGCAAUUUCACGACCAAC